UGGGGUUAAAAUCUCAAAAAAAAAGGAGUAAAAAAAAAAGGUUAGUUUUCUGUUUGAUUCCAAGUUUUGAGUCACUUUUGCAAAAAGCCCUUAUGUAUCAUGAGAAUGCAUCACUAUCGCAGGUUUCUUGAUAAGUUUCUCAUAAACAAAUAAUGAAAAAUAAUUUCGAAAAGAUAUAAACAAAAUACAAGAAACUUUCUCAAACUUUGAACAAAAUUUUAGAUAACCUUAUACAACUUGUGCUUUUCUAUUAGUUCAAUUUUCUUGAAAAAAGUUUGAAAAAAAAAGUAAAUUGUAUUAUUGUUAUACUAUUGAAAAAAUAUUUUAAAACUUAUACCAUUAAAGAUGCUCCAAAUGUGUAUAAUACACUUUGUAAGAAAGUUAGUUCUGUUAGUAAUUAUUUAUUUUAUUAUAUUUCUUUUAAAAUAAAUAAAAAUUCUUAGUCGGUAAAUCCGUAUAAUUCGGAAGAAAAAAAAACAUGACGAACUUAUUUUAUUUUUGAAGAUAAAAUUCCUUCCAACGUGAUUCAAACUUGUGCAAUUUUCAUCAUGUUUUUAGGUUAGCCAAGUGUAAUUUUUAUAAGACCAUAGUUUUAAUUAAGGCUCGAGAGUCAAGAGUCAAAGACACAUGGGAGGCUCAUAAUGUUUGUUAAACUUUCAUUGAAGUUAAUCAAAAUCAAAUAAUCUAUUGAAAUUAAACAUAAUAAAUGAAAAUAAUUAACAUAAUAUUAGACCAAAACGACUUUCGGUUUAGAUUUGGUAUACAAAAUCCCAAACCAAAAAUACAUGAUCUGAAGUUCUUAACUUUAGUUGGUAGUUCAUUAAAUAAAUAAAAUACACUAAUUGUGUAAUCAACAAAAUACCAAAAAAAAACCCUACCCUGUAAUACAAAAACUUAUAUAAAGGUCAUUGUAUUCGAGAAAUCUCUCCAAUCUUCAAACUGGUCUCAGAAUUUCUUUAUGAAAUCAUAAGAUCUUCCUUUCCCGCUUUGUGAUCGUGUUAUAAGCUUGUUCUCAUAGCCUUCUUCUGCUCUGAAAUUCGCCCAUCUACCAAUCUCAAACCAUGGUUGGAAGAGCAAAUGUAAAUAAGGUAACUAUCAAUGAAGCAAUUGCAUUCACGCAGGCGGUAAAGAAAACAUUUCAGAACCGAGCGUGAAAAGUAUGACGAAUUCGUUGACAUCUUGAUGGAAUGUACAGCUAACACAAUGGGCAUAUCUAGUGCUGUAACGAGGUUGAAGGAAGUGUUCAAAGAUCAUCAAGAGUUAAAUUUGGGGUUUGGUACAUUCUUAUCCUCUGACUAUAAUAAAACCACACUCCAGCGUAAGAAGGAGAAACCUGUUACCAUCAUAAAAGCAUAUAGUUUUGCCAAGAAGGUUAAGGUGAAAAUAUAUACAACAUUUAGUUAUGUGCUAAUUAACACUUGCUUUUGUUCCACUUUUAUUUUCUUUUACGUGUCUCUCUUAAAUUUUUUUUAUUUUUAUUUGCAAGGCAAGGUUUAAGGGCAAUGAUGUUCAUGUACAUAAAGCAUUUCUACACAAUUUAAACAUGUACAAAAGUAGAAGCAAGUCCAUCAUUGAUGUUUACCAUCGAUUUGGCAUACUGUUUUGGGAUCAUCCCGAUUUGCUUGUGGAAUUGAAUUGCUUUCUGCCAGCUUCGUCAAAGGGUCCAGUUCGUGAAGGAGGGAUUGCUAUGUUAUUUCAAUCGCUUCAGUUUAUAUAAAUAGGUGGAAUACUAUGAUAGUACUAUAGUUUUUUUUUUU